rnacentral:misc_RNA from 1 species
CACGUGUCCUCACUCUCUAGGUCACCUCGUCGGCUUAGGGCCAAGGCGAGGACCGCCCGACCGUGCCUGCCUGCCUGCCAACUUUAUUGGAGUGAUGACGGUCGGUUGCGCUCCGCGAUGCAGCAUACUUGAAAUAUACACUAUCAUUUAUCACCAACUACGGACAAGAAUCCCGAGUGUGUUAUGAUGCUGAGACAACACUCAAGGACGUCAUUCCCAGCUGCACCAUUGCACCACCUGUUAGCCGCCACUCGCAUGCCAAGUAUGCAUUACACGCCUGCCGCCCUAGCAGCCAACAACCACCGCGCGUCACUUGAAGCUUACAAGAGCUGGUUGUUGCCGCCAGUAGGACACGCAUUACUCCUGUGCACCAUCAGGGACAGUGACCCAUGCCGUUCCGCCUCUCCUCCCUCCAAGCUAGUCUGCAUGGUUGCCCGUCAAGACAGCAAGGCCUGGGCGGCCCUGACUCACCAAGUAACAGGAUCCACCAUCCACACCCCCACAACCCGCCGGAACUAAGACACCAACAUAUGAGCACACGAGCACCUAAACGUGCGCACUCAUGCACAGCAAUACAACAAAUAUUAAAGUACGUAUGAAAAAGUUUAAUCUUGCUAUCAAACAUGGUAUAUUUUUGCGCCCGCUCCCCCACACACACACGUAAUGCGCUCUCUUUACAUGCACACCUCGCCUUCACACACCAAUAACAGCAAGCGAAGGCUACAGUAGAAAGCAUUCCCUUCUCCAAUGCCAACAAAGAAAAAAAGUAUUGCAAGUGUUAACAUCAGUGAACUUAACUGUGCAGUCAUAACAAUGCGACAUCAGCUCCCAUGACAGUGACAGGUAGGAAAGAAGUGUCUGUAUCACCUGUUAAGACAUACAAUUCGAAUACAAGCAGCAGAAGCAGCAGAACGUUUCCAAGACAUCAAGAUACACUUCUCACACCUGUCAAUGAGGGUCGUUGUAUCUACUCGUACUGGCGUGCACCAGGAGGCGGCUCGUGGCACGCUGACAAGGUGGCCCGCC